UUUGUUUUUUUUUUUUAUUUAUAGGUACAAUAUUGAACCUAAACUCAUGGCCAGUAAGUAGUUAACAAGUAUUCAAGCCUGGUCUGUCAGCCAGACAGCUAAAAUAAAGCACCGUGCUGCAGGAAAAGCCUAAUGAAGUCGCCGAAGUGAAUCGAUGGAAGAAUGUCAAAAAAGAUGAAUGUUAAACAGACCAUCUGAAGUUUUUAAAUAAAAGAGAUGUGCUGUAUGGUGGUGCAAGAUAUUCCAGUAAGCCUGCUAAAAGGCAUCUAUAUCUACACAAUUAUCCAUGUAAUACCGUGCAGGGGGAACGGAUUAGUGACUACAAAUCUGUGUGUGAAAUGGGAUGCUGGAGUCUGCAGGACAGAGGAAGAACUCUUGAUGCCUGGGUAAGGACAGACCCUGGAAGACUUUUCCAAGGUAAAAGGACAUGCUUUGCUCACCACAAGGGACUGGAGAGUGCGGCGUUUAAUAAGACCCAAGAGAGAACAGAGGAGGAGGAAAAAG